AUGUCCUAUAUUGAGUUCUUAAGCAGUGGUGCCUCCAGAGUGUGCUUGACAGGGGUCUGCUUAGAGUGACCAGUCAAGUGGCAAAACUUGCCUUUUAAUUGCAUGGGUUAUCUGGCAGAGAAAACCUUAACC